GAUGAAGAACGCAGCGAAAUGCGAUAAGUAAUGUGAAUUGCAGAAUUCAGUGAAUCAUCGAAUCUUUGAACGCACAUUGCGCCCGCCAGUAUUCUGGCGGGCAUGCCUGUUCGAGCGUCAUUACAACCCUCAGGCCCCCGGUCCUGGCGUUGGGGAUCGGCGGAAGCCCCCUGUGGGCACACGCCGUCCCUCAAAUACAGUGGCGGUCCCGCCGCAGCUUCCAUUGCGUAGUAGCUAACACCUCGCAACUGGAGAGCGGCGCGGCCAUGCCGUAAAACACCCAACUUCUGAAUGUUGACCUCGAAUCAGGUAGGAAUACCCGCUGAACUUAAGCAUAUCAAUAAGCGGAGGA
rnacentral:misc_RNA from 1 species